rnacentral:tmRNA from 1 species
GGGGGUGUAAAGGUUUCGACGGGGUUGUAGAGACAAAAGGAGCGAGCCGCAGCGGGUACUGCGCAUAAAACCCAACCUUUUAAAUUAAACGCUGAUAAGAAUUUAGCUUACGCUGCCUAAAUUACGCAGCUGUCCUCUCUGAUGUACCGCGGUUCAGAAUCAGGGCAUCAAUGUUAGCGGUGAACGUGCGCCGGGAAAGCUUUGACCCGGCCAUGAACAAAAAGCUACCGACCCACAGAGGUUGUCUGCGGACUUUGUGGGGAGGGAAUCUUGACCACAGACUACGCUCGUAGCCGCCUUUUGGGGAUACUUCUUCGGACGGGGGUUCAAUUCCCCCCACCUCCACCA